ACGGAGGAGCACGAAGGUUGGCUAAUCCUGGUCGGACAUCAGGAGGUUAGUGCAAUGGCAUAAGCCAGCUUGACUGCGAGCGUGACGGCGCGAGCAGGUGCGAAAGCAGGUCAUAGUGAUCCGGUGGUUCUGAAUGGAAGGGCCAUCGCUCAACGGAUAAAAGGUACUCCGGGGAUAACAGGCUGAUACCGCCCAAGAGUUCAUAUCGACGGCGGUGUUUGGCACCUCGAUGUCGGCUCAUCACAUCCUGGGGCUGAAGUAGGUCCCAAGGGUAUGGCUGUUCGCCAUUUAAAGUGGUACGCGAGCUGGGUUUAGAACGUCGUGAGACAGUUCGGUCCCUAUCUGCCGUGGGCGCUGGAGAACUGAGGGGGGCUGCUCCUAGUACGAGAGGACCGGAGUGGACGCAUCACUGGUGUUCGGGUUGUCAUGCCAAUGGCACUGCCCGGUAGCUAAAUGCGGAAGAGAUAAGUGCUGAAAGCAUCUAAGCACGAAACUUGCCCCGAGAUGAGUUCUCCCUGACUCCUUGAGAGUCCUGAAGGAACGUUGAAGACGACGACGUUGAUAGGCCGGGUGUGUAAGCGCAGCGAUGCGUUGAGCUAACCGGUACUAAUGAACCGUGAGGCUUAACCUUACAACGCCGAAG
rnacentral:rRNA from 1 species